rnacentral:rRNA from 1 species
GAUGAACGCUGGCGGCGUGCUUAACACAUGCAAGUCGAACGGAAAGGCUCCUGCUUGCAGGGGUACUCGAGUGGCGAACGGGUGAGUAACACGUGGGUGAUCUGCCCUGCACUUCGGGAUAAGCCUGGGAAACUGGGUCUAAUACCGGAUAGGACGAUGGUUUGGAUGCCAUUGUGGAAAGUUUUUCGGUGUGGGAUGAGCUCGCGGCCUAUCAGCUUGUUGGUGGGGUAAUGGCCUACCAAGGCGUCGACGGGUAGCCGGCCUGAGCGGGUGUACGGCCACAUUGGGACUGAGCUACGGCCCAGACUCCUACGGGAGGCAGCAGUGGGGAAUAUUGCACAAUGGGCGCAAGCCUGAUGCAGCGACGCCGCGUGGGGGAUGACGGCCUUCGGGUUGUAAACUCCUUUCGCUAGGGACGAAGCGCAAGUGACGGUACCUGGAGAAGAAGCACCGGCUAACUACGUG